ACGUAGUUAGUAAGCGCCUCCACC
rnacentral:siRNA from 1 species